AACGUAGGUUCCGAGCGUUAUCCGGAUUUACUGGGCGUAAAGCGCGUUCAGGCGGUUUGGCAAGUCGGGCCUGAAAUCUCUCGGCUCAACCGGGAGAGGUUGUCCGAUACUGCUGGACUUGAGGGCAGUAGAGGAAGGUGGGAUUCCUGGUGUAGCGGUGAAAUGCGUAGAUAUCAGGAGGAAUACCGGUGGCGAAGGCGGCCUUCUGGACGAUGACUGACGCUGAGACGCGAAAGCGUGGGGAGCAAACAGG
rnacentral:rRNA from 1 species